rnacentral:rRNA from 1 species
GAGUUUGAUCCUGGCUCAGAUUGAACGCUGGCGGCAGGCCUAACACAUGCAAGUCGAGCGGUAACAGAUCCAGCUUGCUGGAUGCUGACGAGCGGCGGACGGGUGAGUAAUGCAUAGGAAUCUGCCCGAUAGUGGGGGAUAACCUGGGAAACCCAGGCUAAUACCGCAUACGUCCUACGGGAGAAAGGGGGCUCCGGCUCCCGCUACGGGAUGAGCCUAUGUCGGAUUAGCUAGUUGGUGAGGUAACGGCUCACCAAGGCGACGAUCCGUAGCUGGUCUGAGAGGAUGAUCAGCCACAUCGGGACUGAGACACGGCCCGAACUCCUACGGGAGGCAGCAGUGGGGAAUAUUGGACAAUGGGGGAAACCCUGAUCCAGCCAUGCCGCGUGUGUGAAGAAGGCCCUCGGGUUGUAAAGCACUUUCAGCGGGGAAGAACGCCUAGCGGUUAAUACCCGCUAGGAAAGACAUCACUCGCAGAAGAAGCACCGGCUAACUCCGUGCCAGCAGCCGCGGUAAUACGGAGGGUGCAAGCGUUAAUCGGAAUUACUGGGCGUAAAGCGCGCGUAGGUGGCUUGAUAAGCCGGUUGUGAAAGCCCCGGGCUCAACCUGGGAACGGCAUCCGGAACUGUCAAGCUAGAGUGCAGGAGAGGAAGGUAGAAUUCCCGGUGUAGCGGUGAAAUGCGUAGAGAUCGGGAGGAAUACCAGUGGCGAAGGCGGCCUUCUGGACUGACACUGACACUGAGGUGCGAAAGCGUGGGUAGCAAACAGGAUUAGAUACCCUGGUAGUCCACGCCGUAAACGAUGUCGACCAGCCGUUGGGUGCCUAGCGCACUUUGUGGCGAAGUUAACGCGAUAAGUCGACCGCCUGGGGAGUACGGCCGCAAGGUUAAAACUCAAAUGAAUUGACGGGGGCCCGCACAAGCGGUGGAGCAUGUGGUUUAAUUCGAUGCAACGCGAAGAACCUUACCUACUCUUGACAUCCUGCGAAUUUGGUAGAGAUACCUUAGUGCCUUCGGGAACGCAGAGACAGGUGCUGCAUGGCUGUCGUCAGCUCGUGUUGUGAAAUGUUGGGUUAAGUCCCGUAACGAGCGCAACCCUUGUCCUUAUUUGCCAGCGCGUAAUG